AGGACGCAGACCAAGAAGACGGCAGCACCGCCGAACACGUCAACGCGUCGAUCCCUGGAUGCGCGGGCCACCGCAGCCUCGAGCGUGC
rnacentral:misc_RNA from 1 species